UACGUAGGGUGCAGGCGUUACUCGGAAUUACUGGGCGUAAAGCGUGCGCAGGCGGUUUCUUAAGUCAGAUGUGGAAGCCCCGGGCUUAACCUGGGAACUGCGUUUGAAACUGGGAGACUAGAGUGUGGCAGAGGGGGGUGGAAUUCCACGUGUAGCAGUGAAAUGCGUAGAUAUGUGGAGGAACACCGAUGGCGAAGGCAGCCCCCUGGGUUAACACUGACGCUCAUGCACGAAAGCGUGGGGAGCAAACAGG
rnacentral:rRNA from 1 species